rnacentral:misc_RNA from 1 species
CCAAUAGCGUAUAUUAAAGUUGUUGCAGUUAAAAAGCUCGUAGUUGAAUUUCGGGACCAAUCUGCCGGUCGUGCCUCCGGUACGCACUGGUUUUAUUGGUUUCUCCCUUCUGACGAACCAUGAUGUCAUUAAUUUGGUGUCAUGGGGAAUCAGGACUGUUACUUUGAAAAAAUUAGAGUGUUUAUAGCAGGCUCACGCUUGAAUACAUUAGCAUGGAAUAAUGAAAUAGGACGUUUGACCCUAUUUUGUUGGUUUCUAGGAUCGACGUAAUGAUUAAUAGGGAUAGUUGGGGGCAUUAGUAUUCAAUUGUCAGAGGUGAAAUUCUUGGAUUUAUUGAAGACUAACUACUGCGAAAGCAUUUGCCAAGGAUGUUUUCAUUAAUCAAGAACGAAAGUUAGGGGAGCGAAGACGAUCAGAUACCGUCGUAGUCUUAACCAGAAACUAUGCCGACUAGGGAUCGGAUGAUGUUAAUUUUUUAAUGACUCAUUCGGCGCCUUACG